rnacentral:rRNA from 1 species
UACGUAGGGGGCAAGCGUUGUCCGGAUUUAUUGGGCGUAAAGAGCGUGUAGGCGGCCAUGUAGGUCCGUUGUGGAAACUCGAGGCUCAACCUCGAGACGCCGAUGGAAACCAUGUGGCUAGAGUCCGGAAGAGGAGAGUGGAAUUCCCGGUGUAGCGGUGAAAUGCGCAGAUAUCAGGAAGAACACCCGUGGCUAAGGCGGCUCUCUAGUACGGUACUGACGCUGAGACGCGAAAGCGUGGGGAGCAAACAGG